GCACUGCUGAGGAGUCCCACAAUAGAAUGAGACGGCCGUCCAGUGU
rnacentral:hammerhead_ribozyme from 1 species